rnacentral:piRNA from 2 species
UCCGAUGCCCAGAUGAUGCAGACA